UCUCCUCAUUUCUUCUUCUUCUUCUCUAUUCCUAAAUUCUUUCUCAACCUCUCUUCUCAAAACUGCCCUCUCACCAAUUGUUUGAAUUAUUGUCAGAUUCUGGAAGAACAAGUCCAACAGAACCCUCUGCUGCUUCCUCCCUCAACUCUCUUCCUCCUAGUGAUGAAUUCUCUAGGUUAAAGUAAGAUUUAUGCCUUCUUGCAACUAAUUUGACUUCACCAAGCUCAAACCUUAACAAAGAAAAGGAUCCAGGAGAAGAUACACCCCUUUUGGACCAGAGUUGACUCAUGACUAAAGACGUUUGGUAGUACUUUUGUUUUAUCAGACUUGGGAGUA